rfam:Ictidomys tridecemlineatus contig068134, whole genome shotgun sequence.
GUAUGUAUAGCUCAGUUGGUAGAGUGCUUGCCUCGUAUGCACAAGGUCCUGGGUUCAAUCCCCAGCAUCACACA